rnacentral:ncRNA from 1 species
GCUGCGUUGGCCAGAUGGCGCGCAGCCCGAUCAAGGUCGGUGGUCAGCCCGCCUGUCCUGCCUCGGCGAACACCUUACGCGAUCCGGUAGAACGGGGCGUAGCACGGGCGCGGCGCGCAGCACCCGUGUCGAGACCCGAGGCCGGU